AUACCUUUCUCGGCCUUUUGGCUAAGAUCAAGUGUAGUAUCUGUUCUUAUCAGUUUAAUAUCUGAUAUGUGGGCCAUUGGCUCACACGAUAUUAAAUUAAUUAUUUAAGGGGGAGAGUCCAACACAAUAGCUUGCUAUUGGGGCUCUCGAGUGUUGUCUUGGUGUUGCACUACUGCCUGGACCUGGCACACCCCAC
rnacentral:snRNA from 1 species